rnacentral:rRNA from 1 species
CCUACGGGUGGCAGCAGUCGAGAAUCAUUCACAAUGGGGGAAACCCUGAUGGUGCGACGCCGCGUGGGGGAAUGAAGGUCUUCGGAUUGUAAACCCCUGUCAUGUGGGAGCAAAUUAAAAAGAUAGUACCACAAGAGGAAGAGACGGCUAACUCUGUGCCAGCAGCCGCGGUAAUACAGAGGUCUCAAGCGUUGUUCGGAAUCACUGGGCGUAAAGCGUGCGUAGGCUGUUUCGUAAGUCGGGUGUGAAAGGCGCGGGCUCAACCCGCGGACGGCAGAUGAUACUGCGAGACUAGAGUAAGGGAGGGGGAACCGGAAUUCUCGGUGUAGCAGUGAAAUGCGUAGAUAUCGAGAGGAACACUCGUGGCGAAGGCGGGUUCCUGGACAUUAACUGACGCUGAGGCACGAAGGCCAGGGGAGCGAAAGGGAUUAGAUACCCCUGUAGUC